UUAGUACUCCCUCUGUCCCAAAAUUCUUGUCUUAGAUUUGUCUAAAUACGGAUGUAUCAAGUCACGUUUUAGUAUUAGAUACAUCCGUAUCUAGACUAAUCUAAGACAAGAAUUUUGGGACGGAGGAAGUACAAC
rnacentral:pre_miRNA from 1 species